rnacentral:misc_RNA from 1 species
AAGGAUCAUUACCGAGUUUACAACUCCCAAACCCCUGUGAACAUACCUAUGUUGCUUCGGCGGACCACCCCAACCCCCUCGGGGCGAGGGGCCGCCAGAGGACCCAAAACCCAACUGUUUUUUCCGUAACGAAACCUAUUCUGAGUGGAAUUAUUAAAUAAAUCAAAACUUUCAACAACGGAUCUCUUGGCUCUG